rnacentral:rRNA from 1 species
GUGACUGCGUACCUUUUGUAUAAUGGGUCAGCGACUUAUAUUCUGUAGCAAGGUUAACCGAAUAGGGGAGCCGAAGGGAAACCGAGUCUUAACUGGGCGUUAAGUUGCAGGGUAUAGACCCGAAACCCGGUGAUCUAGCCAUGGGCAGGUUGAAGGUUGGGUAACACUAACUGGAGGACCGAACCGACUAAUGUUGAAAAAUUAGCGGAUGACUUGUGGCU